UUACAAAUAUUGGCCUUGGAAUGCAAUUGUAAUCUAUUUCCCCUCUCCUUUUGUAGGCAAAAAUGUUUCUUCUAUAACUUCUUAUGAAGAUUGCAGAUUUCUGGAAAGAAGCUUUGACAUUAAGUUCAUUACAUCAUCCAAAUGUUGUAUCUUUUUAUGGUGUAGUCUGUGAUGGUCCUGAUGGGAUUUUAGCAACUGUCACAGAUCAAUGGUUUUCUGAAGCAAUUUU